AUGAUUGUUGUCAUUAUAUAAUAAAUUUUUGUAUAUCAGUUGAAAAUCGAUACCUAUCGGCAAAUUUUAUUUAAUUGAAUGCUCACUUAGCAAAUUUGCCAUUAACAUCCUUCCACUAAUCACUACUUGGGCAUGCUCCUGAUCAUCAUUUUCAGAUAUAUUUAGAAAUAAAGGAAUGAUUACUACCUUGAUGAUAGCAUGGAUGAAAACUAUAUUAGCUUUCUAUCCAUUUCACUCAGUUGUUUGCAAGAUGAUCCGUGCUAAUUCAUGGGAUGGCGAUUGUGCUUGUCAUUUAGCCCAGAGUUUUUCAAACUGCGAGUCGCGAAAUAAAAUAGAUGGCAAAGAACAGAAAAAAAUGCAAAAAAUUUUUGAAAAAUAAAACUUUCCUGAAAGCGGUUCAUUUUUUGCCCAUCCAUAACAAAGAUGAAACAUUGGUUAAUAAUUAUUAACCAAUGUUUCAUAUUUGUUAUGGAUGGUACAGUCUAUUGCAAAAAGUUUUGUGCAUAGCGGUCAGGGGCAGGAAGCAGCGGU
rnacentral:lncRNA from 1 species